CCUACGGGAGGCAGCAGUAGGGAAUCUUCGGCAAUGGGCGAAAGCCUGACCGAGCAACGCCCGCGUGAGCGAUGAAGGCCUUCGGGUCGUAAAGCUCUGUUGUUAGAGAAGAACAAGUACGAGAGUAACUGCUCGUACCUUGACGGUACCUAACCAGAAAGCCACGGCUAACUACGUGCCAGCAGCCGCGGUAAUACGUAGGUGGCAAGCGUUAUCCGGAAAUUAUUGGGCGUAAAGCGCGCGCAGGCGGUCUCUUAAGUCUGAUGUGAAAGCCCACGGCUCAACCGUGGAGGGUCAUUGGAAACUGGGAGACUUGAGUGCAGGAGAGAAAAGUGGAAUUCCACGUGUAGCGGUGAAAUGCGUAGAGAUGUGGAGGAACACCAGUGGCGAAGGCGGCUUUUUGGCCUGUAACUGACGCUGAGGCGCGAAAGCGUGGGGAGCAAACAGGAUUAGAUACCCUGGUAGUCCACGCCGUAAACGAUGAGUGCUAGGUGUUGGGGGGUUCCACCCUCAGUGCUGAAGUUAACACAUUAAGCACUCCGCCUGGGGAGUACGACCGCAAGGUUGAAACUCAAAGGAAUUGACGGGGGCCCGCACAAGCAGUGGAGCAUGUGGUUUAAUUCGAAGCAACGCGAAGAACCUUAC
rnacentral:rRNA from 1 species